rnacentral:rRNA from 1 species
GAUGAACGCUGGCGGCGUGCCUAACACAUGCAAGUCGAGCGACAGGACGAUAAGCUUGUUUCUUUGCUGUUAGCGGCGGACGGGCGGGUAACACGUACAUCACCCUCUUAUAUUUCUGGGAUAAUUUCGUGAAACCGGUUCUACUACCGCAGAAUAUUUUGUACCGGAGGGUGCAAGAGAGAUUGACGGCCUUGGUGACUGAUUUAGCUGGUUUCGCGCUGGAUUAGCUGGUUGGUAAGGUACCGGCUGAGCAAGGCGACGAUGCGUAGCCGAACUGAGAGGGUGAUCGGCCACACUGGAACUGAGACACGGUCCAGACUCCUACGGGAGGCAGCAGUGGGGAAUCUUCGGCAAUGGGCGAAAGCCUGACGCAGCAAUGCCGCGUGGGUGAAGAAGGUCUUCGGGUCGUAAAGCCCUUUUAUUGGGGAAGAACAGAUGUGGAUGUAGCCGUGGCCAUCUUGACGGUAUCCAAUCAAUAAGCAACGGCUAACUACGUG